GACGAACGCUGGCGGCGUGCUUAACACAUGCAAGUCGAACGGAAAGGCCCUGCUUUUGUGGGGUGCUCGAGUGGCGAACGGGUGCGUAACGCGUAUGCAAUCUACCUUAUACUAAGGGAUAGCCCAGAGAAAUUUGGAUUAAUACCUUAUAGUUAAUAAAAAAGGCAUCUUUUAAUUAUAAAGAUUAAUUGGUAUAAGAUGAGCAUGCGUCCCAUUAGUUAGUUGGUAAGGUAACGGCUUACCAAGACGAUGAUGGGUAGGGGUCCUGAGAGGGAGAUCCCCCACACUGGUACUGAGACACGGACCAG
rnacentral:rRNA from 1 species